rnacentral:lncRNA from 1 species
AAGCUGGAAUGUCCUGGCAUGAGCUGGGAGCUACGAAGAUGGACUGAAACUUGGGUGAGUUCUUAUUGCCUUUGACCUUGAGGUUAUCCCUCAGAGGCUAGAAUCCUUUGUCUCAGAGCUAGGCCUACAUACUUGGUCCAGUAUUCAGGGGAAGUUGCAGUAAUUGCAAGCCCAGCAAUAGUCUCACAACAACAAGCCCACCCUAACCAGAAACAUGCAGGAAAUGGAAUUCAGUCUAGCUGCGAUGACACCUUAUAAAUCCAUCACAGUCUAUAAUCCCAUAUUCUGAGUGCAUGCUUCUUUUCACAUGAGUUGGACAAGAAGAGAUACAUGGUGCAAAGUAAAUUCAUUCUUUCUAAGGAAGAUACCAUCAUUUCAUGAUGCAAACUUUACCUCCUUUACUGUUGAGAGGCCACCUCCCUGUAGCAUUUUGGGCUGAUCCUGGUGGUUUCAGCCACAUGGGGGCAACCAAGUUUCUACCCCCUAUCUGAGGAGUUUAUACAAAUAUCACCAGCAAAGGGCUAUGAAGAAGUGAAUAUUCCCUGGAGUUCUGGACCUGCAGAGCACAGGUCACUAUGACAAAAACCAUGGGCCUAAAGCCGUCAGACACAGCUACCAGAGAGGAGGCUGGGCUCCUUUCUGGGAGGAGAAAAUGGAAGUCUCUCUCCUGGCCAUCCUGAACCUCUGUCAUCACUCUAUCACAGCCCGUGAUUAGCCUGGUUCUCCCAGCCUCCGGGAUCAUGGAGCCGCUGUUCCUCCUUUCUAGAUGGCCUGUCUUUGUUUCCGAUUUGAACCUCAUUCUGGUCCUCCACCUGCACUUCCUCACAGCUUCUCCAGAUUCCUUUACAUUGCAUUUUGGCUCUCAGCUAGGUUUGCAACUCCUCCCAAUUUAGAAACAUCUGAAAAUUUAAUUAGCAGGCGGUUGUCUCCCUCUUCCACAUAAUUAAUGAAGAUGUUAAAAUAAAACUGGAUUAAGAAUUUAUUACACUAUAAUUUGCAAAUCAUUGCCACAGUUACUAGAUAAGCUCUAACAAGGCAGGAGGGAGCAACUUGAAAGGGGCAAGGGGAUCUAAGCCAUCAUUGUCCUUAACUCUAAGCCAAAGGCAGUAUGGCACAGACGAGAGAGUUCGGGCUGGGAGUCAGGAGCCAGGGUACCCAUCAGGAAUCUGUCACUAACUAGGAGAAAUUCCCUCAUGAUAAUCCAUCCCUAAAUCCCAAGAAGCAC